rnacentral:misc_RNA from 1 species
GAAAUGCGAUAAGCAAUGUGAAUUGCAGAAUUCAGUGAAUCAUCGAAUCUUUGAACGCACAUUGCGCCCGCCAGUAUUCUGGCGGGCAUGCCUGUUCGAGCGUCAUUUCAACCAUCAAGCCCCAGGCUGGUGCUGCGGACCUGCGGCUGCCGCAGGCCCUGAAAACCAGUGGCGAGCUCGCUGUCACACCGGGCGUAGUAGAUUUUAUCUCGCUCAGGGCGUGCUGCGGUUUCCGGCCGUUAAAAUCCUUUUUUACCCAAGGUUGACCUCGGAUCAGGUAGGAAUACCCGCUGAACUUAA